AGUAGACAGACGAAAGUCGAAAGUCUCUUCCCAUUCCGAACAGAGCAGUCAAGCCCGCCAGAGCCGAUGGUAUUGCCGUAACAGGUGGGAGAGUAGGUCGGUGCCUUUUU
rnacentral:rRNA from 2 species